GGCAGUAUGGUGUAGUGGUUUGAGUGUUGGACUAUGACUCUGGAGACCAGGGUUCAAAUCCCCACUCAGUCA